GAAAUGCGAUAAGUAGUGUGAAUUGCAGAAUUCAGUGAAUCAUCGAAUCUUUGAACGCACAUUGCGCCCCUUGGUAUUCCAUGGGGCAUGCCUGUUCGAGCGUCAUUUGUACCCUCAAGCUUUGCUUGGUGUUGGGCGUCUUGUCCUCUUCUGGAGGACUCGCCUCAAAACAAUUGGCAGCCGGCAUAUUGGUAUCGGAGCGCAGCAUAAGUCGCACUUUGUUCCAUGAAUGUUGGCAUCCAUCAAGACCAUUUUUUCACUCUUGACCUCAACUCAGGUGUGAUUACCCGCUGAACUUAA
rnacentral:misc_RNA from 1 species